CCAUUUUUGUCAUUUUCUCCUCUUUUGGCACAAUUAGUUCACCGUCUCCGGCAGAGUCCACAUUGAGAGAGUUCACCGUCUCCGGCAAUGUCGGAAAUCGAAUCGGCCGACGAACUUCAGCGCAGGGAGUUUGAAGAAGCUCUAGAAGUCAAAUCCCUCCGUCGUAUCAUCAGCGCCUACCUCAAUUAUCCUGAAGCUGCAGAAGAGGAUGUGAAAAGAUGGGAAAGGUCUCUUACAAAACUACCGCCGCAUCAUAAGGCCCUAUUGUCUCACCUUCCGUCGAAGUUUCAGAAACUGAGAUGGUGCAUCACUGAAAAUUCAUAUUUCAUAUUUGAGAUGCUAAAGAUGUUUGAGCCCCCUCUUGAUAUGAGUCAGGAUGUUGAUAUUCGUGAAAACCAACAUCUAGAUGAUGUGUCAGGUAGUCAUCACUUUUCUAGAUCAAGGAACCUUUGCUUAUGUGAGUCAACGUCAACUAGUGGUGGAGUAGAUUGCCACUGCUUGGCUGAACCGAGCUCUAAAGAGACCUGCAAUGGGAAGUACCCGGCACCAUUUAAUAAGGAGCAAGAGGUUGAUGAUUGUAAGAGCCUUCCAAACCAGGACACGUUAUAUGCUUCUGCUUGUUGCAAUGGAAAGGUAUCCUCAUCACCUCCGGAAUGGUUGGACCCAUCUUUGCAGCUGCAUGUUCCACUGGUUGAUGUGGAUAAGGUUCGUUGUAUCAUCAGAAACAUUGUAAGAGAUUGGGCCAACGAGGGUCAAAAAGAACGUGAUCAGUGUUAUAGGCCCAUUCUGGAAGAGCUUGAACGCCUAUUUCCUAAUCGAUCUAAUGAAAAUCCUCCAGCCUGUUUGGUUCCUGGCGCUGGACUUGGAAGACUUGCACUAGAAAUUUCAUGUCUUGGUUUUGCUAGCCAAGGAAACGAAUUCUCAUACUACAUGAUGAUCUGCUCCAGUUUUAUUCUUAAUCAUACUCAAGCUGCUGGUGAAUGGACAAUCUUUCCAUGGAUACACAGCAAUUGCAAUUCGGUGUCAGACAAUGAUCAGCUUCGUCCCGUCUCUGUUCCAGAUAUUCAUCCGGCUAGUGCAGGUAUUACUGAAGGCUUUUCCAUGUGUGGUGGUGAUUUUGUUGAGGUUUAUAGUGAUCCAAGCCAAGCAGGUUAUAUUUUAGCUCGUACAAGGAUAAUGUAUUUUGAUAUUUCAUCUAUACCUUGUGGAAAUAAGAGCUGCAAUUGGGGUAUAUGUGUACCUGCAUCUUAAUGGGCCCUAAAGUUAAGUUUUGUCCUCAUCUUUCAGCUCAUUAAAACCGCUCAUGUUCACUGUUCAUGACCUUUUGUCUUAUGCUAAAUAUAAUUAGUUGCGAAAAUAAUAUGCUUUUUGCUUUCUUUUGUAGGCAUGCAUUUCUUAAGAUUGAUCACCAUAACCAGCUAUCUAGUAAAAUUAUCCUGCAUCUAUUUGGUUUUUUUCUUGGUUGUGUGUGUGUGAAGGGGGGGAGGCUGCAUGACUGGUUCAAAUGCAAUUUGCUAAGUUCUCAUCAUGUGUCGUCUGCAGAUAUUCUAGUCAUUGUUAUUCAUUAAAUCGUAACAUUUUUUUUAUGAUAGAAGCUAUCCUCAUCAGAUAUUAAUGUGCAGGAGUUUGGGAUGCAGUUGUCACUUGUUUCUUCCUAGACACUGCCCAUAACAUUGUGGAGUAUAUUGAGAUUAUCUCAAAAGUCCUCAAAGAUGGUGGAGUCUGGAUAAACCUGGGGCCCUUGCUUUAUCAUUUUGCAGAUAUGUAUAGUCCAGAAGAUGAAAUGUCUAUUGAUCUGAGCUUGGAGGAUGUGAAAAGGGUCGCUCUUCAUUAUGGAUUUAUAUUCGAG